rnacentral:tRNA from 1 species
GCCGGCGUGGCGGAAUGGCUAACGCGCCAGACUUGAGAUCUGGUGUCCGAAAGGACGUGUAGGUUCGACUCCUGCCGCCGGCG